CCUACGGGUGGCAGCAGUGAGGAAUAUUGGUCAAUGGACGAGAGUCUGAACCAGCCAAGUAGCGUGAAGGAUGACUGCCCUAUGGGUUGUAAACUUCUUUUAUAUGGGAAUAAAACGUUCCACGUGUGGGAUUUUGUAUGUACCAUAUGAAUAAGGAUCGGCUAACUCCGUGCCAGCAGCCGCGGUAAUACGGAGGAUCCGAGCGUUAUCCGGAUUUAUUGGGUUUAAAGGGAGCGUAGGUGGAUUGUUAAGUCAGUUGUGAAAGUUUGCGGCUCAACCGUAAAAUUGCAGUUGAAACUGGCAGUCUUGAGUACAGUAGAGGUGGGCGGAAUUCGUGGUGUAGCGGUGAAAUGCUUAGAUAUCACGAAGAACUCCGAUUGCGAAGGCAGUUCACUGGACUGCAACUGACGCUGAGGCUCGAAAGUGUGGGUAUCAAACAGGAUUAGAUACCCUAGUAGUC
rnacentral:rRNA from 1 species